GCCUGGGUGGCUCAGUUGAUUAGGCGUCUGACUUUGACUCAGGUCAUGAUCUCGCGGUUCAUGGGUUCGAACCCUGCCUUGGGCU
rnacentral:tRNA from 1 species